rnacentral:misc_RNA from 1 species
UUUCCGUAGGUGAACCUGCGGAAGGAUCAUUAUUGGAUUUUGAAACUUCAGGCUGCUGCUGGCUCUCCUCGGAGGGCAUGUGCACGCUGGUUGUCCAUUAUUUCUCCCACUGUGCACAAAUUGUAGACCUUUCAGUAGGCCUAUGUUGUUUUUCACAAUCUCUGAAUGUAAUAGAAUGGUUUUGAAUCUUGGGAAAUACAAUACAACUUUCAGCAACGGAUCUCUUGGCUCUC